AGGCACGACACGGGGUGCCGCCCGAGCAGGCGGCUGAGAGAACACCCGUCGAACCUGAACUAGUUCGCACUAGCGGAGGGAUUGUCGCCUUGAUGCACA
rnacentral:ncRNA from 2 species